rnacentral:rRNA from 1 species
UAACUGAAGAGUUUGAUCAUGGCUCAGAUUGAACGCUGGCGGCAGGCUUAACACAUGCAAGUCGAGCGGGGGAAGGUAGCUUGCUACUGGACCUAGCGGCGGACGGGUGAGUAAUGCUUAGGAAUCUGCCUAUUAGUGGGGGACAACAUCUCGAAAGGGAUGCUAAUACCGCAUACGUCCUACGGGAGAAAGCAGGGGAUCUUCGGACCUUGCGCUAAUAGAUGAGCCUAAGUCGGAUUAGCUAGUUGGUGGGGUAAAGGCCUACCAAGGCGACGAUCUGUAGCGGGUCUGAGAGGAUGAUCCGCCACACUGGGACUGAGACACGGCCCAGACUCCUACGGGAGGCAGCAGUGGGGAAUAUUGGACAAUGGGGGGAACCCUGAUCCAGCCAUGCCGCGUGUGUGAAGAAGGCCUUAUGGUUGUAAAGCACUUUAAGCGAGGA